AUUUUCUUCUAGAUUUGCUGCUUAUUUGAACGUGCAUUACAUGAACACUUUUUGUUAUAGGAUCAAUCGUGGAUUGCAUUCAUCCUCGUCUGAAGCAUGAUGUCGCAGCUCGUUUAGUUUUAGGAGCUUUAGCAGUUGCUUAUAACAGAAGUGGAAUUGAUUAUCAGGGUCCGUAUCCUUCAACAUAUACCUUACAUCGUGAUAGCAAUACUCUUACUAUAGAAUACGACAAUGGAAGAUAACCCAUUGAUGUAAGAAACACAAACGGAUUCCAAAUUUGCUGUUCAACAUCUCAUAAAGUUUGUUAUGCGUUAUGGUGAUAAUGGUUGGACAAAUGCACCAAUAAAGAGUCAUGAUACAUCAAACUGUAACCUAAAUCAUCAUUCUAUUGGUGGAUUACGAUAUGAAUGGGGUGAAAAGCCGUGUGCUUUUAAGAAAUGUGCUAUUUAUGGGGCAUCAAACUACCUUCCUUCACCGCCCUUUAUUGUGUACCAAGACUUAUCCAAUAAAAAAGCAUUCUAAAAUAUUUGUUCUUGAUGAGUUCCAUGCGACUUGAAAACA